rnacentral:rRNA from 1 species
AGCAGCCGCGGUAAUUCCAGCUCCAAUAGCGUAUAUUAAAGUUGCUGCAGUUAAAAAGCUCGUAGUUGAAUUUCGGGACCAUCAUGUCGGUCGUGCCUCGGUACGUACUGGCAUUGUUGGUUUCUACCUUCUGACGAACCAUGAUGUCAUUUAUUUGGUGUCGUGGGAAAUCAGGACUGUUACUUUGAAAAAAUUAGAGUGUUUAAAGCAGGCUCACGCCUGAAUACAUUAGCAUGGAAUAAUGAAAUAGGACGUUUGAUUCUAUUUUGUUGGUUUCUAGGAUCGACGUAAUGAUUAAUAGGGAUAGUUGGGGGCAUUAGUAUUCAAUUGUCAGAGGUGAAAUUCUUGGAUUUGUUGAAGACUAACUACUGCGAAAGCAUUUGCCAAGGAUGUUUUCAUUAAUCAAGAACGAAAGUUAGGGGAUCGAAGACGAUCAGAUACCGUCGUAGUCUUAACCAUAAACUAUGCCGACUAGGGAUCGGAUGAUGUUAAUUUUUUAAUGACUCA